rnacentral:rRNA from 1 species
GAUCCUGGCUCAGGAUGAACGCUGGCGGCGUGCUUAACACAUGCAAGUCGAACGGAACUACUUUGAUGAGAUUCUUCGGAAAGGAUUUGAUUUAGUUUAGUGGCGGACGGGUGAGUAACGCGUGGGUAACCUGCCUCAUACAGGGGGAUAACAGUUGGAAACGGCUGUUAAUACCGCAUAAGCGCACAGUACCGCAUGGUAUGGUGUGAAAAACUCCGGUGGUAUGAGAUGGACCCGCGUCUGAUUAGGUAG